UGCGUAGGUGGCCAGGUAAGUUUGGUGUGAAAGCUCGGAGCUUAACUCCGAAAAGUCAUUGAAUACUAUCUGGCUGGAGGGUCGGAGGGGAGACUGGAAUUCUCGGUGUAGCAGUGAAAUGCGUAGAUAUCGAGAGGAACACCAGUGGCGAAGGCGAGUCUCUGGACGACUCCUGACACUGAGGCACGAAAGCCAGGGGAGCAAACA
rnacentral:rRNA from 1 species